GGACGAACGCUGGCGGCGUGCUUAACACAUGCAAGUCGAACGGUGAACCAGGGCUUGCCCUGGGGAUCAGUGGCGAACGGGUGAGUAACACGUGGGCAACCUGCCCCUGACUCUGGGAUAACUCCUCGAAAGAGGUGCUAAUACCGGAUACGACCACUUCGGGCAUCCGAUGGUGGUGGAAAGAAUUUUGGUCAGGGAUGGGCCCGCGGCCUAUCAGCUUGUUGGUGGGGUAACGGCCCACCAAGGCGACGACGGGUAGCCGGCCUGAGAGGGCGACCGGCCACACUGGGACUGAGACACGGCCCAGACUCCUACGGGAGGCAGCAGUGGGAAAUAUUGCGCAAUGGGCGAAAGCCUGACGCAGCGACGCCGCGUGAGGGACGACGGCCUUCGGGUUGUAAACCUCUUUCAGCAGGGACGAAGCGAAAGUGACGGUACCUGCAGAAGAAGCACCGGCUAACUACGUG
rnacentral:rRNA from 1 species